rnacentral:rRNA from 1 species
GAUGAACGCUGGCGGCGUGCCUAAUACAUGCAAGUCGAGCGAACAGACGAGGAGCUUGCUCCUUCGACGUUAGCGGCGGACGGGUGAGUAACACGUAGGUAACCUACCUAUAAGACUGGGAUAACUUCGGGAAACCGGAGCUAAUACCGGAUAAUAUUUCGAACCGCAUGGUUCGAUAGUGAAAGAUGGCUUUGCUAUCACUUAUAGAUGGACCUGCGCCGUAUUAGCUAGUUGGUAAGGUAACGGCUUACCAAGGCAACGAUACGUAGCCGACCUGAGAGGGUGAUCGGCCACACUGGAACUGAGACACGGUCCAGACUCCUACGGGAGGCAGCAGUAGGGAAUCUUCCGCAAUGGGCGAAAGCCUGACGGAGCAACGCCGCGUGAGUGAUGAAGGUCUUCGGAUCGUAAAACUCUGUUAUUAGGGAAGAACAAACGUGUAAGUAACUGUGCACGUCUUGACGGUACCUAAGCAGAAAGCCACGGCUAACUACGU